rnacentral:lncRNA from 1 species
CAUUUAAAGGUGUGCGGCGGGUCUCUGUUCACAUGGCUCAACUGGAAACCUGUUUCAUGAACAAGCUUACUCAGGAACCAUCUGGUGGUAUUCCAGCACAUUGUUCUUCAGGGGGACGACUCUAAGUCGCUUUGUGGUGGCAGCAGCUUAGAAUCAGUAUUUGUGGUUGGGAAAGAUGGACUUACGGGAGCUUGGUAAUGCAGGUGGUGAAGGAGCAGGUUAUGAGAGCACUUACAACCAAGCCUAGCUCCCUGGACCAGUUCAAGAGCAAACUGCAGAACCUGAGCUACACUGAGAUCCUGAAAAUCCGCCAGUCCGAGAGGAUGAACCAGGAAGAUUUCCAGUCCCGCCCGAUUUUACAAGUUUUGGUAUUGUCGGCUUUCGCCAAAUCACAAAGUCCUGCAUUACGGAGACUUAGAAGAGAGUCCUCAGGGAGAAGUGCCCCACGAUUCCUUGCAGGACAAACUGCCGGUGGCAGAUAUCAAAGCCGUGGUGACGGGAAAGGACUGCCCUCAUAUGAAAGAGAAAGGUGCCCUUAAACAAAACAAG